rnacentral:lncRNA from 1 species
AUUGGAUCUCAUCCCUUAUUGCAUCCCACCACAGAUCUGAUUGAGCACUAGAAAUAGCUUCUAAAAAAUUUACGGGAUCAAUUACAUGACCAAUAUCAUAGUCACCUCUUCCAAGGUAUAAUUCAUAUAUGUCUAAAGAAAUAACAAGCCUCCUAUUCCUAGUAGAACUUCUUUGUUAUCCUUCUACUAGAUAUUGAUUUUGAGGAACUUCAUCAAGAACUAGUUGCACUAGUUCUUGUUCCUUUUUAUUUCCAUAACAGUGUCUUUCUGUAUAGAUGUAGAAAUUCUUACUAUCUAAAUAUGUUGUUCUUUAUCUUUAAUUUCAAAGCAACUAGUAUAAGCCACAUCUAGUUCUAAAAACUUAGCUAUUUUUGCCUCAAU